UGCAGCUUGAUGCAUCUUCCCCUCUAGCGCACGGCUCAACCUUGAGCCAUUCCCCUAAGCCCGGAACAAUGCGGAUUGGUUCUGGGCUUCUUUUC
rnacentral:sRNA from 1 species